AUGUGCACACAUACACAAAUAUUUUGUGGUUACGAUAAAAAUAAAUGAUUGGAAAAAACAAUGCGACCGCAAGUUUAGCUGAGUGCACUCAUAAAGAGCAAAUAAUUAAUAUAAGUACAAAAUAAGCACGAGUUAAGUUUCACUAUAAUUCACAAUACCGUCGUGUCUACACAUACAUACUAUAGUUUUAGACAUGUUUCAAAAAAUACUAGGCAAUAAAGCGAGUCAAUCCGAAGAGAAUGCAAAGAAUGAUAAAUCACGGAGGGGCAAGCCAAAAGCGAAAUCAUGCAAAUGUGUCCCGCAAAACUGCAAAUGUAAGAUACGAAAUGCAGUCAAGCUGUUGGCCAAACAACGUUAUAAUUUUAGAUCGAACGAAAUUCUUGUUUGAGUGUUGAAUUAUAAAUAAAAAAUAUUAAUUUCCUAACUUUAA